AUGCGCAUAUUAUGCUUCCCUUCACACGUUUACUCGCUAGUUUUGUCUCCUAGAAUAUUUCAGAACUUGACCCUUUUUUGUGACUUCCGGCAAAAAAAUGACAAAGAUGUGCUGAUAAUUAAAGUGCAGCUCCCCGCAAAGUCACGUACAGGGAGCGCGGCCGUCACCCCACGCCCAGGCUCGCCCUCGCUCAGUGGUCCAGACGCUCGGGAGGUCUGGAAAGGUCCCUCUCCCUCCCACGGCGGCAGAAAUCUUCCACGCAGGCCUCCAGGCUGCAGCUCAGGCCCCAGUGGCUCCCGCCGGCCUCCAGAGGCCUUCCCAGCCGGCCUCGGCCCCGCCCCAGGACGCGAUCUGGGCGUUUGUUCUGGGGGCUUUGGGCGAGCUUGUGUUUUCUCAAGUCUGCACAUCUCUUUCCGAGGGCUUCUCGUUGUUUGUGUUGGAAAUAAGCAACUUUCGCUUCUGGCAGGGGGCCAGAGCCCCCUUCGCCUCUGGAGGAGGAGACCAGACUGGUGCCAGCAGGGGCCACGGACAGACCCCUGCCACCGCCAGCAGCACCUCCUCCACCCAAGAGCCCAGUGUCGUCCUUCGCAGACCCUACCAAAGGCAAACGGUGUGGGAGGGGUUGGACCCAGUGCGCUGCCCAGGCGGGCGCCUCUCGGGGCGGCAUCCCUGUCCCUUCGCAGUCUUCUCUCCACAGUGCCCGGUCACUCGCCCCUGCUUUUCGUUCUCCCACUCCCCCGCUGCCUGUCGGGGGAACCUAACCACCCCCCCACGACAGGUUUGACAGCCAAGGGGACACCCUGGAGGGCCGGGUGGUGGUUUCUUUUCAAAUCCCUUUCUUACUUAGAAACUAAAGGGGAACAAUGGAAGAAUAAAGACAUUGAGGUCCUUCUCUGUGUGCCCGGACUAGGGGUUCAGGCUGCCAGGGUCUGCAGGUCCCAUCCUCAUGCCUCGACGGUCACCCUGGGACCUGCUCUCAGCGCUGGCCCCACAGCCAGGCUUCCCUCCAGCCCAGCCUAA
rnacentral:lncRNA from 1 species